rnacentral:rRNA from 1 species
UGAUCAGCCAUUCCGCGUGAGUGAAGAAGGCCUUCGGGUUGUAAAGCUCUUUCGGCAGGGAAGAAAUCACCUCUUCUAAUACAGGGGGUGGAUGACGGUACCUGAAGAAGAAGCACCGGCUAACUACGUGCCAGCAGCCGCGGUAAUACGUAGGGUGCGAGCGUUAAUCGGAAUUACUGGGCGUAAAGGGUGCGCAGGCGGUUUCGUAAGACAGCUGUGAAAUCCCCGGGCUUAACCUGGGAACUGCGGUUGUGACUGCGAGGCUAGAGUACGGCAGAGGGGGGUGGAAUUCCACGUGUAGCAGUGAAAUGCGUAGAUAUGUGGAGGAACACCAAUGGCGAAGGCAGCCCCCUGGGUCGAUACUGACGCUCAUGCAUGAAAGCGUGGGGAGCAAACAGGAUUAGAUACCCUGGUAGUCCACGCCCUAAACGAUGCCAACUAGUUGUUGGGGAAGGAGACUUCCUUAGUAACGAAGCUAACGCGUGAAGUUGGCCGCCUGGGGAGUACGGUCGCAAGAUUAAAACUCAAAGGAAUUGACGGGGAACCGCACAAGCGGUGGAUGAUGUGGAUUAAUUCGAUGCAACGCGAAAAAACUUACC